CAGCCGCCGCGGUAAAACGGAGGGUGCAAGCGUUAUCCGGAUUUAUUGGGUUUAAAGGGUCCGUAGGCGGACUUAUAAGUCAGUGGUGAAAGCCUGUCGCUUAACGAUAGAACUGCCAUUGAUACUGUAAGUCUUGAGUAUAUUUGAGGUAGCUGGAAUAAGUAGUGUAGCGGUGAAAUGCAUAGAUAUUACUUAGAACACCAAUUGCGAAGGCAGGUUACCAAGAUAUAACUGACGCUGAGGGACGAAAGCGUGGGUAGCGAACAGGAUUAGAUACCCCCGUAGUCCCUGUCUCUUAUAC
rnacentral:rRNA from 1 species